rnacentral:rRNA from 1 species
GAUGAACGCUGGCGGCGUGCCUAACACAUGCAAGUCGAACGGAACUAUUUUGGAAACUCCUUCGGGAGCGGAAUCUUUAGUUUAGUGGCGGACGGGUGAGUAACGCGUGAGCAAUCUGCCUUUAAGAGGGGGAUAACAGUCGGAAACGGCUGCUAAUACCGCAUAAAGCAUCGAAACCGCAUGAUUUUGAUGCCAAAGGAGCAAUCCGCCUUUAGAUGAGCUCGCGUCUGAUUAGCUGGUUGGCGGGGUAACGGCCCACCAAGGCGACGAUCAGUAGCCGGACUGAGAGGUUGAACGGCCACAUUGGGACUGAGACACGGCCCAGACUCCUACGGGAGGCAGCAGUGGGGAAUAUUGCGCAAUGGGGGAAACCCUGACGCAGCAACGCCGCGUGAUUGAAGAAGGCCUUCGGGUUGUAAAGAUCUUUAAUCAGGGACGAAACAAAUGACGGUAC